GAUGAACGCUGGCGGCGUGCCUAAUACAUGCAAGUCGAGCGAACAGAUGAGGAGCUUGCUCCUCUGACGUUAGCGGCGGACGGGUGAGUAACACGUGGAUAACCUACCUAUAAGACUGGGAUAACUUCGGGAAACCGGAGCUAAUACCGGAUAAUAUAUUGGACCGCAUGGUUCAAUAGUGAAAGACGGUUUUGCUGUCACUUAUAGAUGGAUCCGCGCCGCAUUAGCUAGUUGGUAAGGUAACGGCUUACCAAGGCGACGAUGCGUAGCCGACCUGAGAGGGUGAUCGGCCACACUGGAACUGAGACACGGUCCAGACUCCUACGGGAGGCAGCAGUAGGGAAUCUUCCGCAAUGGGCGAAAGCCUGACGGAGCAACGCCGCGUGAGUGAUGAAGGUCUUCGGAUCGUAAAACUCUGUUAUUAGGGAAGAACAAAUGUGUAAGUAACUAUGCACGUCUUGACGGUACCUAAUCAGAAAGCCACGGCUAACUACGUG
rnacentral:rRNA from 1 species